rnacentral:rRNA from 1 species
AACGAACGCUGGCGGCAGGCCUAACACAUGCAAGUCGAACGCUCCGCAAGGAGAGUGGCAGACGGGUGAGUAACACGUGGGAAUCUUCCUAUCGGUGCGGAAUAGCUCAGGGAAACUUGAGGUAAUACCGCAUACGCCCUCAGGGGGAAAGAUUUAUCGCCGAUAGAUGAGCCCGCGUCUGAUUAGCUAGUUGGUGGGGUAAUGGCCCACCAAGGCGACGAUCAGUAGCUGGUCUGAGAGGAUGACCAGCCACACUGGGACUGAGACACGGCCCAGACUCCUACGGGAGGCAGCAGUGGGGAAUAUUGGACAAUGGGCGCAAGCCUGAUCCAGCCAUGCCGCGUGAGUGACGAAGGUCUUCGGAUUGUAAAGCUCUUUUGCCAGGGACGAUAAUGACGGUACCUGGAGAAUAAGCCCCGGCUAACUUCGUGCCAGCAGCCGCCGUAAAAC